CAGGACGUGGGAAGGAAACACUCAACACCCUUUCUCCCCCUUUCUUCUAAAAAUUCAUUUUAUCUCCCAGAAAUGCCUCACUUCUUCCUCCCACCCCCUAUUAAGAUGGCAAUAAGCCCCACAUUCUAACCACCUCCUUCAAUCACAUUAUUCUGUGAACUAUCAUGUACACAUCUGUGAAUAAAGCUCAAUCUUCUCUUUUGCUCUUAUAUCUUUUGCCAAUUUAACUUGCCGUCCCCUAUCACAGAACUUAAGAGAGUAGAGAAAGAGAAUAUUUUUCCCUCUGACAAGGACCCAGGUUUCAAAAUCAGGUCAUAAUUCUGUAUAAUGUGGUGGCGGUCCUUCCCUUGCCUGAUUCUGCAAAGAAGAGGAGGAAAGUUAACAUCUGGCCGGUCCCCUUGUCAAUUCACUUCAUGGUGAGAAUGAUCCUGUGACACUGUUCUGAUCAAUCAGAUGCAAUGUUUGAAGCAGCCAGCAGCCAUCUAUCAUUUAAGAAGGGAUGAGCUUGAUGACAAAAGGUGGCAUUAUCUCUGAAUGGAAACAGAUGGUGAUAAAGGUCCUCCUGUGGAUGACAUGGGAUCUUUGGGUAACUUUUUAUAUAUUGGUGAUUGCCCUCCCAGCGUAUGUAUACUUUUUUGGAAUCUCAAGAGCCCUGGAGCAAUGGGAAAAGAAAAGGAGGGAGGAAAGACCUUGGUAGAAUUUAUGGAGUGCCUACAGUGAACCCGGUACUGUAUUCAGAGUUUUAUUAAACUGUUGUUAAAAACAAGACAACAGGACAGAAUGGAGUCACUUAUGCGAGGCCCAUGUCACCAGUCUGAGACUUAACUUACAGUUUUUGUUCUACCAAAAAUGGAAUUUUGAAGCAGCCAACCAGAAAUCAUCUGAUCAACACAAGUGAGGUAAUCUGCCUGAUAGGCUCCUACCAUCCCUGAAAGGAAAGUAACUGUGCAAUAACCGACCUACUUUUUACAGAAAACUCAUACAACUUAACAAAAGGAAGAUAAACAAUCCAAUCAAAAAAUGGGCAAAGGACCUAAAUAGACACUUUUCGAAAGAGGACAUUCAGA